UUGCAGGCAGCACGGCGGGGCGAUGGCGCAGGACGACCCAGUUGUUUCCGCUCAGUGGCUGCAGCGGCACCUAGGGCAGCCUGACAUCAAGGUGAAGAAUCUCUCAUCUACUUCGCGUUUCCAUCUCCAGUUCCGAAAGGGAUUAUUUGCCUGUUCUUAUCAUCCAGUCAAGGGGUUGGCGUGUGUGGAAUUUUAUUUUACUGAUUAUUAAGUAUUAACAGAAAGAAGAAACUGGGAUAUGUUUAUCAAUGUGAUUUUACUUCCAUUGACUUUAGAGAUUGGAGAACGCUGUGUUUUGUUCCUUCCUUUUAUAGUACUAUUUGACUACUCCGUUUCAGGUACUGGACGCCUCCUGGCACAUGCCACAAGAGAGCAGGGACCCAUGGCAAGAGUACAAGGUUUCUGGAUUUAGUUCUACCGUGUUUUAUUUCCCCCAUUUUCGAGUGACAAUGUCGUCCCCAGCUCAUGUAUUCUGAUACGCCCAGGUGGCCCAUAUUCCCGGCGCGCUGUUCUUCGACAUCGAUGGCAUUGCUGAUCGGAUGACUGACGUGAGAAAUGUUUCCAGAUAUUAAUUCCUUUCCUGUUUACGUGAUCAUUUGACUCAAGUAAAUGAGAAGCAAUGAUUUCUUGGUGCUUUUGGCAAUUGCACGAUACAAUGCCUUUCUGUCUUUUAAGCUAUGCCUACGAAUAUAGAUAUAUGACUUAUUUUUACUGGAUGCAAUCGUUUCAGUUGCCACACAUGCUGCCAUCAGCAGAGGCUUUUGCCGCAGCAGUUUCCGCACUCGGUAUCAGAAACCAUGAUAAAGUCAUUGUUUAUGAUAGCAAGGGCUUCUACAGCGCGCCUCGUGUUUGGUGGUAAGCAGAACGCAUGGAUUCAGUUUAACAAAAUGAUGAAACUGAAUGUUGCUACUGCACAAAGAAAGUUAAGCUGUCAAUUUGUAAUGUGUCAAAAGUUCAUGGUAAUAUAUGUUUCUUAUUUUAUUUAGUGCACGUGAAGGUACAUCUUUCCUCUUUUGUAGAAUUUCUCAUCUAUACAAGUUGAUCAGAAUUAAUUACUUAUCAACCCAUUGUUUUUUGAUGGUUCAUGGCUUACUUCAAAGACUGAAAACAUGAAAGAGUACUAUGUGUAUGUCUGUCAACUUGAAACACUGCACUCUCACAGUUUUACCUAAUUUGUUGUGUUGCGGACAGAAAAUUGAGCAAGUCUCCGUUUUCAAUAACAACAAAAAUGAAUGAAUUAAUGCAUAAACGUUGGAAAUAUACCUGGCAAACAUGCCAGACUAGCCAUUCUCUCAUUUCAAGUAAAUGCUCUACGUCUAGUCUUCUACAUGCAAAAGUUGAUGAUAUUUAUGCACACUUCAUAAAUUAACAGGAUGUUCAGAAUUCUUGGCCACAAUGAAGUUUGGGUCUUAGAUGGAGGUUUACCUCAGUGGCAAGCUUCUGGAUACAAUCUUGGAAGUAACUGCCCUGAAGAUGCAAUUCUGAAGUCUAAAGCUGCCAAUACUGCUGUUGAAACUACUUACAAUGGUGAAUUGGUGAGAUAGCUUUCAAGAUGGUCUGACUAUCUUACUCCCUUUUUUUUCUUAGUGAGUAAUCAUGGUUCCAUUCUUCUCAGGAAAGUGCUGCCACAUUUCAGACGGAAUUUCAACCUCAGCUACUCUGGACACUAGAAAAGGCUAGCUCUCCAUUAUAUCUGAACACUUAAAAUUUCUUCAUUUUACCUGAAAACUUUCUUGUGUUUAUAUAGAUACGGGUAAAUGAUAAAUCUGAUCAUGAAUUGCUCCUUCAGGGUUAAUUGGGAUUAUUCCUAUCUUAUUAUCUUUCUUUCGACCUUUUUGGAGAAAAUCCUAGCUUUAGUAAAAUAAAAAAUUCAAAGAUUUAUUGACAUAAACACUAAUAUCUUGAAGAUCCACAUUUGUGUUGAGCUGCUUUGUUCAUGUAACAGGUCAAACACAAUGUAGCUGCGCAGACUCACCAAGUAGUUGAUGCCCGAUCAAGGGGCAGGUAACAUCUCCUAAUUUUGACUCUUUGAAUAUUACUCUGGUUAGAAGAGACGAAUGUAGAAGCUCUGAUCAUAAUUAAAUGUAGCAUGAUUACUCUUCUUGCAACAAAUUAGUGGAUCACGAUUUCCUUCAAAAAGAAAAGGUUGGGCAAUAGUGUUUUUAUUUCAAACAUAUACGAUGAUUUAGCUCACUAUCUAGAUUAAUGGUUAUUGUUUUAAACAUGAAUCUGUAUUGUCUUGGUUUUUGCCUUUUCUCUAUCGCCUAUUUUUAAAACUUAAUGUAACUGAUACAUGCAUUGUGUGACAACUUGUGCCAUUUGUUAUUGUUGAUCUUCCCCUAAAGUUACCUUCUUAUUGUUGUGAUGGAAAGCACUGAAAUUUCAUAAUCAGAUUUGAUGGCAUAGAACCAGAACCAAGGAAAGGAGUAAGAAGUGGGCAUAUACCUGGAACUAAAAAUGUUCCAUUCCCUGAGGUGGGUAUUAGUGCAAACUGCAAAUAUGCAAUAUAGUGCAUGAUACUUGGACCGUUGGACGACAAUAAAUAGCUAAUGAUACAUUGUCGGUCUUGCAGAUGUUUGAUGGUGCACCAAAGCUUCUCCCUGCAGAUGAACUAUCUAAAAAGUUUGAGCAAGCAGGUCUGAAUUAUGUUUCAUCUCACUGUUCUAGUCUGAAAUUCCUAGCACACCCAUGUCCUUUUUUACCAUGGAACAACCGAAGUAAACGACUUUCCCAAUUUUAUACAAUACCGGAAGCUGAACAACAUUGAUUUAUACUUCAACCAUGUAGAUUUUCUGAUCAAAUAAUUAAAACUUAUUCAGGAAUAUCAUCCGUACAUCGUGUAUGAAAGUUUCACCACACAAUAGCAAUAAUAGCACCCAGUUUGAUGUUUCUUCAGGAAUUUCACUUGAUCACCCGAUUGUCGUCACAUGUGCAUCUGGCGUAACUGCCUGCAUAGUUGCUCUGGUCUGGAAACCUUUGCCCGCUCUUCUCUAAUGGUGCCAUUGACUCCACAAAUCAGGCUCUAACAAUAUCUGUUUACAGGGGCUCUAUAGAGUUGGGAAGCAUGAUAUUCCAGUUUACGAUGGAUCUUGGACAGAAUGGGAAGCACAGCCAGAUAUUGAUUACCCAAAAGUUACUUCCACUGGCUCUUGAAUCAAGAAUUCUGAAGCAGGUUCAGUUUAGAUUGUCGGCAUGAUGUCUCUGGCAAGCUUUGCACUUGAAUCAAGGCGAAGGUUAUAGGGGAAAGAAAUACCCACUGUACUAUGGCCAUGCAAAUGGGGCACUUUUGCCACACAAAAACGUUAGACCAUAUCUUCAGCAUCAAACUCAUGUCUGAAGCUGUACUUAAAGUUACUAAUGAAAAAUUCUUGGCUCGAAACAAGAUUGAUCGUUUUUUAUUUAUUUUUUUGCUUUGGAGUUGCACCUGUGUUGAUUAUCAUGCUUAAAUUCUUACAACUGCAGCUCAUUACUACUCUAAUUUACUACUCCAAUCCUUGCGCCCGAACCUCGAUUAAAAAAAAUUCCUUCCGCCAGAACGGCAAGUAUUUCCUUUUAUUUUUGUCGCCGCGCUGACACCCUUUGUUGGCUGCGGCUGCCUCACGGGUCCAAAUCGACUCAUCUUCUCCGGCAGCGGCGGCGGCCUUCCUCUCUGCCCUUCCGCUUCCCUCUUGGAGGCCCCCUGCCCGGCUCCCCACCGCACCCACCUGGAGGGCAGCACGGCGGGCCGAUGGCGCAGGACGAUCCAGUUGUUUCCGCUCAGUGGCUGCAGCAGCACCUAGGGCAGCCUGACAUCAAGGUGAAGAAUCUCUCAACUACUUCGCGUUUCCAUCUCCAGUUCCGAAAUGGAUUAUUCGCCUGCACCGUAGAAAGAUGAUACGGAAUACUAACCUGUUCUUAUCAUCCAGUCAAGUCAAGGGGUUGGCGUGUGGAUUUUUAUUUUAC
rnacentral:lncRNA from 1 species